UACGGAGGGGGCUGGCGUUGUUCGGAAUUACUGGGCGUAAAGCGCACGUAGGCGGCUUUGUAAGUUAGAGGUGAAAGCCCGGAGCUCAACUCCGGAAUUGCCUUUAAGACUGCAUCGCUCGAAUCAUGGAGAGGUGAGUGGAAUUCCGAGUGUAGAGGUGAAAUUCGUAGAUAUUCGGAAGAACACCAGUGGCGAAGGCGACUCACUGGACAUGUAUUGACGCUGAGGUGCGAAAGCGUGGGGAGCAAACAGG
rnacentral:rRNA from 1 species